rfam:Oryza sativa Japonica Group DNA, chromosome 10, cultivar: Nipponbare, complete sequence.
AAUAAACGCAGUUAUGGGUUUUAGUGCCUAAAGUUUGACCGUAUGUCUUAUUUAUUUUUUUAUAAUUAAUAUUUUUAUUGUAAUUAGAUUAUAAAAUAUGAAUAAUACUUUAUGCGCGACUUAAUUUUUAAAAUUUUUUCAUAAAUUUUUCAAAUAAGACGGAUGGCUGAACGUUGGACACGGAAACUUAUGGCUACACUUAAA